rnacentral:lncRNA from 1 species
UUUGUUGCCUAGACUUUACUGCAAAUGACAAGUCUUGAGAAAAAAACGACACUAAUAUUGCAGUUAGCAUUGACAGCCUUUAUAAUGGAACACUUGUGAACACACACAAAUAUUGCAAAACAACUUAAAGUAGAAAUAGAAUAAAACAGGCAUUCUAUUUUUGCUCUAUUAUAGUGGCCACUAUAGACAUUGAUCAAGUGCACAAGGCUACAUGUGUGCAAAAAUAACGUUCAGAGUAAAACAAAAUAUAUAUAUAUUCCCCCCCACACGUGUUACUGUCAAAUAUAAACAUUGAGUUGUUAUUUUACCUGAAAUGCAGAAGGUCCUCUACUCUGACAAUUAAUCCACAUAUAAAACGUUAACCAAAUCGUUUCUAGUCAUCUCUCUUCCUUACAGGCUUUUUCUUCUAUUGACUUUAUAUUGCGAUUGGCAAAUUUCAUAAAUUAGGUGCAUUACCGCCACCGACCUCGUUCGUCUUUCAGUCACUCACGUGGGUUCAUCCAAUGAGGAGAUGGCACGUGGGUACCUGCUUCUAUAAACCAAUGAGGAGAUGGGAGAGGCAGGACUUGCAGUGCGAUCUGCGUCUAAAAUAGCCCUUGGCAACGCAGACGCUCGUUGGCGCGUGCGAGCAGUAAUUGAAUAACAGAUUUCUACAUUUAUUUUGCGACGUGAGCGUUGUGGUCAGCCUGUAACGUUUCCGUUCUUGGGGCGCGCUGCUGUAACUGACAAGCUGCCUUUCCAGUGCGCACGCUGAUGCUGUAACUAGUAAAUUGGCUGUCUCUUCUUUCUUAACAGGCUGACCACACCACUCGCGUCGCGUGCACGAGCGUUGCAAAAUAAAUGUAGAAAUCUGUUAUUCAAUUAUUGCACCCACACUGCUCGCACGCAUCAACGUUGCCAAGGGAUAAAAUAGUCCUUUCUAUUUCUGACGCAGAUCGCGCUGCAAGUCCUGCCUCUCCCAUCUCCUCAUUGGUUAUACCCUCGAACUGUCUUGCUGGUCGUCAUAGUAAUACUAUGAAAGUUUACAUGCCAAUCACCAUAUAAAUUCAAAGAUGAAAAAGCCUGGAAGGAGGAGAGAUGACUAGAAACUAUUUGGUUACUGUUUUAUGUGUGGUUAAUUGUCGGAGUAGAGGAC